rnacentral:rRNA from 1 species
UCCGUAGGCGGGCAAUUAAGUCAGAGGUGAAAUCCCACAGCUCAGCUGUGGAACUGCCUUUGAUACUGGUUGUCUUGAGUUACAGUGAAGUAGAUAGAAUAUGUAGUGUAGCGGUGAAAUGCAUAGAUAUUACAUAGAAUACCGAUUGCGAAGGCAGUCUACUAACUGUAUACUGACGCUAAUGGACGAAAGCGUGGGGAGCGAACAGGAUUAGAUACCCUGGUAGUCC